UACGAAGGGGGCUAGCGUUGUUCGGAAUUACUGGGCGUAAAGCGUAUGCAGGCGGAUCGUUAAGUCGGGGGUGAAAUCCUGGAGCUCAACUCCAGAACUGCCUUCGAUACUGUAGAGCUUGAGUUCGGGAGAGGUGAGUGGAACUGCGAGUGUAGAGGUGAAAUUCGUAGAUAUUCGCAAGAACACCAGUGGCGAAGGCGGCUCACUGGCCCGAUACUGACGCUGAGGUGCGAAAGCGUGGGGAGCAAACAGG
rnacentral:rRNA from 1 species